GUAACACGUGGGCAAUCUGCCUUCAGGUCUGCUUAAUCCCGGGAAACUGGGGAUAAUGGCGGAUAGGCAAUUGCAACUGGAAGGUGCUUUUGCUUAAUGCUACUUUUUCCAAAAAAGAUGCGCCUGAGGAUGAGCCUGCGGCGGAUUAGGUUGUUGGCGGGGUAAAUGCCCACCAAGCCUUUGAUCCGUACGGGCCUUGAAAGAGGUAGCCCGGAGAAGGACACUGAGAUAAGGGUCCUAGCCCUACGGGGUGCAGCAGUCGCGAAAACUUUACAAUGCGCGAAAGCGUGAUAGGGGGAUUUCGAGUGCUCUCUCUGAGAGCUUUUGCUAAACCUAAACAGUUUGGCGAAUAAGUGGGGGGCAAGAUACGUGCCAGCCGCCGCGGUAACACGUGCUCCGCGAGUUGUAUCCGCUUACAUUGGGCCUAAAACGUCUGUAGCCAGUUCAACAAGUCUUUGGUGAAAUCAUUGCGCUUAACGUAAUGAAUUGCCAAAGAAACUGUUGGACUCGAGGCCGGGAGACGCCAAGGGAAUUUCCGGGGUAGCGGUGAAAUGCUAUGAUCCUGGAAAGACCCCCAGUAGCGAAGGCGCUUGGCGAGAACGGGCCUGACGGUGAGAGACGAAAGCUGGGGGAGCGACCCGGAUUAGAUACCCGGUUAGUCCCAGCCGUAAACGAUGUGGACUAGGUGUCCUCGCAUCCAAGAGAUUCGGGGGUGCCGAAGGGAAGCCAUUAAGUCCACUGCCUGGGAAGU
rnacentral:rRNA from 1 species